ensembl:lncRNA
GAGCGAUGGCCUCAUUUCAGCCUGGCAAGGGAAUCUGCAGCCAGGAGCAUGGGUGCAUGGUGCAGGACAUGGGUGCUCUGUUUCUGCUGGUUCCUUUGGACUACCUCCUGCCCCAGACGAGCUAGGAAAGGGAGGGAAAAGCUGCUGCAAAACUUGCAAGCCGUAGCUUGGAUCCCAUCGUGCUGCUCACAGACAGCUGAUGCGCAGCGCUCGGGCUACUGGGAUCCAGAUCCCUCUCUCAUGUUAUGCUGUGUUGAAGCCUCUAGGACAACAUUUUGGCCUGGAUUCAGGAAGCCUGUUAAGGAUUGCAGCCCGGAGAGGUUGGAGGCCAGGAUGGGCGAGAUGGAGCUGGGCUGGGAACAGCCCUGUGGUGAGGUUGCAGGAGGCUGCAGGACCUUCCCAGCAGGACAACCUCUGUGUCUGUCCGGCCCUCCAUCCAGCCCUGCUGUGUCCCGAGGGCUGCAGGAGACAUGAGCUCACUGCUGAGACGUGCCAAACCAAGCCCGCCCGGCGAGGCUGCUCCCAGCUCCACGCUGACAUCUGCCAGAGAUUUCCAGCACUGCUGUCUCGCUGCUUCUCUGCAGAACGCAGCCCCUGAGCGUCCCAACAUCCUGCUCCUCCUCUGGGCCAGAGGCAUCCACAUCUACAUCCCCAUCGCUAUCCCAAUCCACAUCCCCAUCCCCACCUGCAUCCCCAUCCCCGCCCACAUCAGCAUCCUAACACCUGAACUGGUUGCCAUAGAAACCACAGGUCUGUCUGUCUGCCCGUGCCAGGGGUCAAUGCGCUGCUCCCCCUGGCUCAGCUAUUUGUGGUCCACAAACAGGGAAACAGGGGCACGCUGGAGGCAUGGAGCAUCCACACAAGGAGGACGGUGCAUCCUGGGAGUGAAUGGGAAAGUGUAGCUCUGCCAGAAGUUAUAGCAUCUGGGACAUCAACGUGAGCAGAGGGCGAAAGCUGGGAAUCAUUACAUGGCACAACAGAAGGCAAAACAUUCACCUGGAGAAGGCAAUUAGCUCAGCAGGUCUUUUAGUGUCAUUAAGGGAUUAUUGUCCUGUUAUUACAUGUCCCAUCAUUAAGGGAUUAUUGUCUCAGUGGUUCCUUGACCUCCUGGGCAUGGCUGGAUGGUGUCACAUCAGACCCCAUAGAAGGUGUUGUUAGGGUGGGUGGGGUAGUGUGAGUUGUCCUCUCUUUCAGAGACCACCAGCAAGGCAAAUUGUUGCGUUAGGGAUGUGACCAAUUGGUUUGGAGGUGUCCAAGGCCAAGUUGAAUGGGAAACCUCAUCCAGUGCUUGAUGAGCAGUCUGCAACCCUGCCUACGGCAUGGAGAUUGGAAGUGGACAGUCUCUGGGGUCCCUUCCAACACAAGCCAUUCUAUGAUUUCUUGCCCACGUGGUCCUAUGGGCAUCCCAGUGACCAUAUAUAGCCAACUCUCUGCUCUCCACCUCCUAUAAAAGAUGCUGGCUGCUGGUUUCCGUGCUGCCAGCCGUCCCGGAGCUGUGCGUUCUGCAUUUCCCUUUUAGGAAGCAAGAUUCUUGGACAUGGGGCAGUAAAAAGAAAACAUCUCUCAGCUCUUAUUUAUCACCUCUCCUUAUAACUGACCACUCUCUAAAUAGAGGGACCGCUUGCAGCCCAGGAGUGCAGCACAACGGAGCCAGAGGUGCCUUUGGCCCCUGCUGUCCUGGAUGGACUUCCAUGCAGAUCUCCCCACCUCGCUGCUAUUUAUGGGGUCAGCUCCAGGCAAGGAACCCAGCUGAAGUCCUGGUGCUUACUGCUCACCGGCCAAGCCAAACAGCGGAGUGAUGCAAUAUUGCACAAACUUUCCAGCCAGGGAAAUUAAUCUUUGCAAUAGAGGAAAAAAAAAAAAAGAAAGCAGUGAGCACAGAAGACAGCUCAGGGCGUCUGUCUUGGAGGGGAUGUCUGUUAAAUGGGCUCAGCACAUGCUGUUCUGGCUGCUUCCGCUGAACUCUGCUGCUGGCGAGAUGUUCAGCUCAUCACAUAAUGAGAUCCCACCAGAGGAACAACAUUAGGAUGCCUCCCAGACAGCCAAGGCCUUCAAAAUGCAUGGAGGAGGAGCAGCUCCAUCGAAGUCACGCAUAGCUGAGCAUCCCAGAGGGGGAAGGUGAGGAUGCUG